AGUGAACGCUGGCGGUAGGCCUAACACAUGCAAGUCGAACGGCAGCACAGUAAGAGCUUGCUCUUACGGGUGGCGAGUGGCGGACGGGUGAGGAAUACAUCGGAAUCUACUUUUUCGUGGGGGAUAACGUAGGGAAACUUACGCUAAUACCGCAUACGACCUACGGGUGAAAGCAGGGGAUCUUCGGACCUUGCGCGAUUGAAUGAGCCGAUGUCGGAUUAGAUAGUUGGCGGGGUAAAGGCCCACCAAGGCGACGAUCCGUAGCUGGUCUGAGAGGAUGAUCAGCCACACUGGAACUGAGACACGGUCCAGACUCCUACGGGAGGCAGCAGUGGGGAAUAUUGGACAAUGGGCACAAGCCUGAUCCAGCCAUACCGCGUGGGUGAAGAAGGCCUUCGGGUUGUAAAGCCCUUUUGUUGGGAAAGAAAAGCAGCAGGUUAAUACCCCGCUGUUCUGACGGUACCCAAAGAAUAAGCACCGGCUAACUUCGUG
rnacentral:rRNA from 1 species